rnacentral:rRNA from 1 species
AACGAACGCUGGCGGCAUGCCUAACACAUGCAAGUCGAACGAGAUCCUUCGGGGUCUAGUGGCGCACGGGUGCGUAACGCGUGGGAAUCUGCCCUUAGGUUCGGAAUAACAGUUAGAAAUGACUGCUAAUACCGGAUGAUGACGUUAAGUCCAAAGAUUUAUCGCCUGAGGAUGAGCCCGCGUAGGAUUAGCUAGUUGGUGUGGUAAAGGCGCACCAAGGCGACGAUCCUUAGCUGGUCUGAGAGGAUGAUCAGCCACACUGGGACUGAGACACGGCCCAGACUCCUACGGGCGGAAGAAGUGGGGAAUAUUGGACAAUGGGCGCAAGCCUGAUCCAGCAAGGCCGCGUGAGUGAUGAAGGCCUUAGGGUUGUAAAGCUCUUUUACCCGAGAUGAUAAUGACAGUAUCGGGAGAAUAAGCCCCGGCUAACUCCGU